rnacentral:rRNA from 1 species
AUUGAACGCUGGCGGCAUGCCUUACACAUGCAAGUCGAACGGCAGCACGGGAGCAAUCCUGGUAGCGAGUGGCGAACGGGUGAGUAAAGUAUCGGAACGUGCCCAGUCGUGUGGGAUAACGUAGCGAAAGUUACGCUAAUACCGCAUACGAUCUAUGGAUGAAAGCGGGGGAUCGCAAGACCUCGCGCGAUUGGAGCGGCCGAUAUCAGAUUAGGUAGUUGGUGGGGUAAAGGCUCACCAAGCCGACGAUCUGUAGCUGGUCUGAGAGGACGACCAGCCACACUGGGACUGAGACACGGCCCAGACUCCUACGGGAGGCAGCAGUGGGGAAUUUUGGACAAUGGGCGCAAGCCUGAUCCAGCCAUGCCGCGUGCAGGAUGAGGGCCUUCGGGUUGUAAACUGCUUUUGUACGGAACGAAAAGGUUUGACUUAAUACGUUGGACUCAUGACGGUACCGUAAGAAUAAGCACCGGCUAACUACGUGCCAGCAGCCGCCGCAG